UAAGCUAAAAUAACGAUUCAUAACAAUUAGUAUACCCUCAGGUAACUUAUUUUUCCACAUACAGGCUCACACAGACAUAAGCACACUUGGAAACAAAGAUGUCCUCACAGCAGUGUUUGACUGUUCAUGAUCACAAACAACCUAAAUGCCCAUCAGGGGAGGACUGCUAACUGUAUUUCCUUUUUUAAUUUCUACAAGAACUCCCUUCAACAUUCCCUUCCUUCUGGAUCAUCUCUCCGUCAUCUUCCUAACCCAACAGCAGGAUCAUUCGUGGGCCUCGACUGCGGUAACGGCGACAGCGGAACACUAAGUUUGUUCAGGGCUGGGGCGAGCACAGGGCUGGGGCAGGUUGCCUCUAGCGUCCCCGGCUCGGUGCCCAGGCUGGCUUGCCCAGGCCGCUCGGACACAGGGCCGUCCGUGCACGUAGGGCUGACCAGCUCGCCCGCCUCCGGGGCUCCCCGGGGAGGAACGACCCUGCCGGCAGACUGACUGGGUGUCUGUGUCCCCGGGCCGAGUACGGCGGC
rnacentral:lncRNA from 1 species